ACGCACGCUGGCGGCGUGCUUCACACAUGCCGGUCGCACGGGCCUGUCUUCUUUUUUGGGGGGUGGGUUGAGUGGCGAACGGGUGAGUAUCACGUGAGUAACCUGCCCUUCGGUCCUGGAUAACCGCUUGAAAGGGCGGCUAAUACGGGGUGGUCCGGUUGGUCCGCAUGGGCUGGUCGGGAUAGAUUCACUGUUUUUGGUGUUUCGGCGGGGGAUGGGCUCGCGGCCUAUCAGCUUGUUGGUGGGGUGAUGGCCUACCAAGGCGGUGACGGGUAGCCGGCCUGAGAGGGUGGGCGGCCACACUGGGACUGGGAUACGGCCCAGACUCCUGCGGGAGGCAGCAGUGGGGGGUAUUGCACAAUGGGCGGAAGCCUGACGCAGCGACGUCGCGUGAGGGAUGGAGGCCUUCGGGUUGUGAACCUCUGUUUCCGGUGGUGAAGGCCCUGUCCGUGUGGUGGGGUUGACGGUAGCCGGGGAUGAAGCGCCGGCUAACUACGUG
rnacentral:rRNA from 1 species